CGGUAAUACGAAGGGACCUAGCGUAGUUCGGAAUUACUGGGCUUAAAGAGUUCGUAGGUGGUUAAAAAAGUUGGUGGUGAAAUCCCAGAGCUUAACUCUGGAACUGCCAUCAAAACUUUUUAGCUAGAGUAUGAUAGAGGAAAGCAGAAUUUCUAGUGUAGAGGUGAAAUUCGUAGAUAUUAGAAAGAAUACCGAUUGCGAAGGCAGCUCUCUGGAUCAUUACUGACACUGAGGAACGAAAGCAUGGGUAGCGAAGAGGAUUAGAUACCCUCGUAGUCCAUGCCGUAAACGAUGUGUGUUAGACGUUGGAAAUUUAUUUUCAGUGUCGCAGCGAAAGCAAUAAACACACCGCCUGGGGAGUACGACCGCAAGGUUAAAACUCAAAUGAAUUGACGGGGACCCGCACAAGUAGUGGAGCAUGUGGUUUAAUUCGAAGAUACGCGCAGAACCUUACCAACACUUGACAUGUUCGUCGCGACUUUAAGAGAUUAAAGUUUUCGGUUCGGCCGGACGAAACACAGGUGCUGCAUGGCUGUCGUCAGCUCGUGUCGUGAGAUGUUGGGUUAAGUCCCGCAACGAGCGCAACCCUCACUUUUAGUUGCCAUCAUUUAGUUGGGCACUCUGAAAGAACUGCCAGUGAUAAGCUGGAGGAAGGUGGGGAUGACGUCAAGUCCUCAUGGCCCUUAUGUGUUGGGCUACACACGUGCUACAAUGGUAUCUACAACAGGAAGCAAGAUGGCAACAUUUAGCAAAUCCUAAAAAGAUAUCUCAGUUCGGAUUGCACUCUGCAACUCGAGUGCAUGAAGCUGGAAUUACUAGUAAUCGUGGAUCAGCGUGCCACGGUGAAUACGUUCCCGGG
rnacentral:rRNA from 1 species